ACGGGUGAGUAACACGUGGGUAACCUGCCCUCGAGUGGGGAAUAACCCAGGGAAACUUGGGCUAAUACCGCAUAAAACCUUCGAGUCCUCGGACCCGGAGAUCAAAGCUUGCCUCUGCAUGCGAGCUGGCGCUUGAGGAGGGGCCCGCGCCCGAUUAGCUAGUUGGUGGGGUAACGGCCCACCAAGGCAACGAUCGGUAGCCGACCUGAGAGGGUGACCGGCCACACUGGAACUGAGACACGGUCCAG
rnacentral:rRNA from 1 species